ensembl:lncRNA
AAAAAACUGCCUCAAAACUCAGCUGUUUGCCUGUGUCACUUAAGCCCAUGCAGGUGAUUUAUGCAGCUGGUGAGAGGGAGGUUAUUUAGCUAUUGUUUUAAAAGCGGGUGUGAGGGGAGGAUGGAGGGGAAGCAGUGGGGGAGUGGAGAUGUAUUUUGUUUGUGCCUCAGAUCCUGCCACCUAGGAGAGGCUGGGCGACAGGGCUGAGCCGUCCUGGUCUGUGGGCUUCUCGAAGAGAGAGCUGGGAUCUCCUGUGUGCUUGGGGCUCUGCAGUGCAGCGCUGCUGAACCAAACCCAAGGUCCUGCUCCUGAAGGUUGUGUUGGCUGCAGGCUUAACCCCGCUAUGACAGCAGUUCUGGGACACCUGAUCUCCACAUCUCGUUACAAGACGAGGCUCUGGCAGACUGACACCUUUCACAACACAGAGCUCCGAGGGAGGCAGUCGGGCUGGGAAGCACGUCAUGCGGCGCGGUGGCACUGUCCCCAGUGUCACCCUGCUGGGGCUGUGCCCGUCCAGCUCCUCCAGACAGGUUGGGCUGCACACCGCAUCCCAAAAUGCCAGGGUGGUGGCGUGAAGUGCCCGUGCUGUCAGCAGCCCGGAGGCUCAGGAUGUCGAUGCGAGCGGCUGCCGAGCAGGCAGAGACGUGCAGGAGGCAGCCGGCUUGAAGUGCAAUUUGCAUUUUAAUAAAGAAAGUUGUAUUUUUUCAGUAAUUUGCAUUUAAAUCAAGCGUGUUUCAUAACUGAGC